UUUUUGUAAUUAAAGUGAAAUUCCAUCUAACAGGGUUUACAUCUUCCAUCUUCGUUCUAUUCAAAUAGUUAGGGUUUACAUCCUCAUUCAAAUCAUCGCUCACUGCUACCACUCUCCUGACAACCGCCGUCGCCGUCGACACAUCACCUCUGCCACCACCGCGACACCACCGCACCACCACCGUGAGAACUCCUUCGUUGAUAACUCCGACGAAGACAACUCAUCCACUGACAUUCAUACAUCUGCUGAUAAGUCACCACUGCAAUAGCUAAUUCGGCUCGUCCUUCUACGAUUACUUGGUUGAAUACAUCAUUUAUCCGUUCAAGCGGCUAGAAAAGUCCUGGAAGAAGCUUGCUUUGGGUCGGAUUUUAAGGUUUCCGAGUGGCUUAACUGGGUCCCUAUUAAAGUUAAUGGUUUCUUCUAUUUCCUAUAUGUGUUCUUUUGGUUUUGAUUUAAUCCCCUGCAUAUGUGUAUGUGUGUGCACUUUAAAUUCCAACUGAAUUGGAUGUAUAGAUUUAUGUAUAAAUUGGGAAAAAUCUAGGUGUUCUGGGGUUUAGUGACUUGAAGAAAGAGAUUGGUUGGAUGUAUAUAAACUUUCCCUAAACCCUAGAAUGAAAUCAGCAGCAAUUAUGAAGUUGUGCUAAUCAAAAAGCAAACACAAAUAGUACUCAUAGGUUAGUGGCCCUUGUGGAACAUGAGUGGAUUCUAUAUAAGGUCAACUCAUUUGAUAUAAGCUUUCAAUCCUUUUCCACUUGCAAUGCAUGAAAGUAAAGUAAUACUGUGGGGUCCUUUGCACCCAUCACAUUCUGAUGCAUGAUCAGUAGUAAUAAGAAUUUGAACUUUCUAUUCUUUAAUCCCAGAGGAUAUAGUAGCGAAAGUAGUGAUACUAUUGGAAUGGAUUACUUUAAGUGCAAUUAUCGGUCAUUUGUCACAAAUAGUUAAACAUGUGUUUGAAUAAUCUUAAUAUUUUUUGAAUGGAUUCUACAUUCAAAAAAUUAGGAUUACAUGACCAUUUGGUUCUUUCUCAUAACGCUCUCCGUUAACGUAUCAUGAUUUUCUUUUUUGUGUAACCAUUAUGAUUUCAAAUAUUGAAGGGAGGAUUUUCGUAAGGAAUUCCAAGAGCAAAAUCCAGAUGUCAAGUCAAUGCGUGAGAUUGGCAAGGCUUGUGGAGAGAAGUGGAAGACCAUGACUUAUGAGGAGAAGGUGCAGUACUAUGACGUUGCGACAGAACAACAAGCAAAGUUUGAGAAAGCUUUGGCAGACUAUGCUAAGAGAAAGGAAAAUGGGGAACAUGACGAGUUUGAUGAGGAUUCAGACUCAGAUUAUGAUCGAUGAAUGAAUAUGUUGCUUUUGAACUCAUAGAGAUUCUAUUUAGCUGUCACAAGUAUCUUGUACAGUGAGAUAUUCAAACGUG